rnacentral:misc_RNA from 1 species
GAAAUGCGAUAAGUAAUGUGAAUUGCAGAAUUCAGUGAAUCAUCGAAUCUUUGAACGCAAAUUGCGCCCGCCAGCACUCUGGCGGGCAUGCCUGUUCGAGCGUCAUUUCAACCCUCAGAACCCCUUGCGGGAUCUGGCGUUGGGGAUUGGCAUCCAGCCAGCCCCGAAAUCUAGUGGCGGUCCCUCCGCGACCUCCCCUGUGCAGUAGCGAUACCUCGCAGCGGGACAGCGGUCUGACCACGCCGUAAAACCCCCAACUUCUCAAGGUUGACCUCGAAUCAGGUAGGAAUACCCGCUGAACUUAAGC